CAACGAAUAUUCCGCAAUGGGCGCAAGCCUGACGGAGCGACGCCGCGUGGAGGAUGAAGUCCUUCGGGAUGUAAACUUCGAUAGUUUGUCAGGAAGUGAGGCGACCUAAUACGUCGCCGAUUUGACCAGCAGACGAAAGGGACGGCUAACUCCGUGCCAGCAGCCGCGGUAAUACGGAGGGUGCAAGCGUUGUUCGGAAUUAUUGGGCGUAAAGGGCGCGUAGGCGGUUGUGAAAGUCAGAUGUGAAAUACUUCGGCUCAACUGAAGAACUGCAUCUGAAACUUCAUAACUCGAGUACAGGAGAGGGAAACGGAAUUCCCGGUGUAGAGGUGAAAUUCGUAGAUAUCGGGAGGAACACCAGUGGCGAAGGCGGUUUCCUGGCCUGAUACUGACGCUGAGGCGCGAAAGCGUGGGGAGCAAACA
rnacentral:rRNA from 1 species